rnacentral:rRNA from 1 species
GCAGUCUGCAACUCGAGUGCAUGAAGCUGGAAUCGCUAGUAAUCGCGGAUCAGAAUGCCGCGGUGAAUACGUUCCCGGGCCUUGUACACACCGCCCGUCACACCAUGGGAGCCGGUAAUACCCGAAGUCAGUAGUCCAACCUCGUGAGGACGCUGCCGAAGGUAGGAUUGGCGACUGGGGUGAAGUCGUAACAAGGUAAC